rnacentral:rRNA from 1 species
GAUGAACGCUGGCGGCGUGUCUAAUACAUGCAAGUCGAGCGAACGGACGAGAAGCUUGCUUCUCUGAUGUUAGCGGCGGACGGGUGAGUAACACGUGGAUAACCUACCUAUAAGACUGGGAUAACUUCGGGAAACCGGAGCUAAUACCGGAUAAUAUUUUGAACCGCAUGGUUCAAAAGUAAAAGACGGUCUUGCUGUCACUUAUAGAUGGAUCCGCGCUGCAUUAGCUAGUUGGUAAGGUAACGGCUUACCAAGGCAACGAUGCAUAGCCGACCUGAGAGGGUGAUCGGCCACACUGGAACUGAGACACGGUCCAGACUCCUACGGGAGGCAGCAGUAGGGAAUCUUCCGCAAUGGGCGAAAGCCUGACGGAGCAACGCCGCGUGAGUGAUGAAGGUCUUCGGAUCGUAAAACUCUGUUAUUAGGGAAGAACAUAUGUGUAAGUAACUGUGCACAUCUUGACGGUACCUAAUCAGAAAGCCACGGCUAACUACGUG